rnacentral:rRNA from 1 species
UACGGGGGGGGCAAGCGUUGUUCGGAAUUACUGGGCGUAAAGUGUGCGCAGGCGGCCGAGCAAGUCGAGUGUGAAAGCCCCGAGCUUAACUUGGGAACUGCGCUCGAAACUACUUGGCUAGAGUGUGGCAGAGGGAGGUGGAAUUCCACGUGUAGCGGUGAAAUGCGUAGAGAUGUGGAGGAACACCGAUGGCGAAGGCAGCCUCCUGGGCCAACACUGACGCUCAUGCACGAAAGCGUGGGGGAGCAAACAGG